CUGCCAACAGUCUGUAUCAUAACAGUCUCAUGUCGUUUGUUCCCUUCUUCUGUCACUUACCUUGAAUCCACAUUGAUAAAAUGUUGCAACCACCUGGACGAUCACUGACGCACCAGCAGGAGCCACAAAACCGUGUUUCAGAAUAAAAAGCACCACUGAAGCAAAACCACAUUCAGUUUGGUUUAAACUUUAAACGAGUUCAUUUUUAUUAAAAAUCCAUUGGUUCAACAGUGAGUGACAGCUGUUGUUUCACAUGUGAAACUCAACUCAGUUUCUUCAAAGUAUCUUACAAUGACAUGAAAGCAAGAACUGUGCGUACAGAUGAGUGAGAGCAGGAAAACUGAAACGAGCGCAGCCCUGAUCCAGGACUCGCAGUGCUGACUUCAGUCACCGAGCGGCAUGCACGAUUCGUUUUGAGAAAGGUUAAACUGGCAGGUUUCCAUUCCAGCCAAAAUGCCCACUUCUUUCCACGAGUACAAAAGAUAGCAGCAUAGACCAGCUGUGUGUGCUGAGGCCAGCGUUUUAAUGUUAGACCAGCCUCAAGUUGCCCACUCUGUGAUACCAGCACACUGAAAAUGACUACAUGUUGAAAUCACAGGUCAGAACCUGAAAGCUUCCAAUUAAAGUUUACAAAGACCAAGAAAAGAUGUGAAAGAUUUUAGAUCUAAAUCUUUGGAGUAUCCAACCUGGAGCUCUGCCACUUCCUGUGCUGCGGGACAAGCGGACUCCAUAAACCUUGUGUCUGCUCUGUAUUCAUGUUCGUUGUUUUAUUAAACUACAUUUUGUCAUUUUUCCAGGAUGAACUCAUCCUCAAAAACUUAUGUUAAAGGCAGCUGGCAUGAUUGGUGUGAGGGGCAUUUCUAUAUCCACACAUGGAAAGUAUAGCAGCUGAAAUCCCACUGAGCAGCUUCCCCCGUUAUCCAACCCACAACAGGACAGCACAGACGAUAGCAAAGGUCAGGACCUGUUACUGCUGUGGUUCUGUUGAACUGUGACGUGUUUUAUCAAAUUGAUUCAGGACGCACCGAGACUGGAUUACGAUCUAGAGUUAGCAUUAGCAGCGAAUUAGCCGCUCGGGUUUAAGCACAGCGUGGAGCUACGUGAGCUGUGCUGACAGCGACUCCACCUGGGCUCGCAUUAUAACGAGCUCUAAACACUCCACCACUGUUGGAUUUAUAGCAAGUGCUCUGCUCUGUUAGACAAGACGAAAGUCAGCUCUGUGAUUACGCCAUUAUUGGAACUUGUCCCUUUAGGGUUGGGGGGUGGGGACCUCCAGGCCUGGAGGGCCGGUGUCCUGCAGAUUUAGAUCUCACCCUGGGUCAACACACCUGAAUCACAUGAGUUCAUUAGCAGGCCUCUGGAGAACUUCAGGACAUGUUGAGGAGGUCGUUUAGCCGUUCAAACCAGCUGUGUUGGAUCAAGGACAUCUUAAACCUGCAGGACACCGGCCCUCCAGGCCUGGAGUUGCCACAUCUGCUUUAGGGGGAUGCUAGAAAGUUGUAAACGGGGAAACCGUCAGUCCCUCUACCAUCGAUCCGACGCUCUGUAUGUGUUAGCAGCACUGAGCACAAGUCUCUCUCACUGUCUGGUGAGCUUUUUUAAGCCCACUCAGUAACGGACAUGUCUGAGACUUCGAAGCAGUGCUUGGUAUGAGCAUCGUUGUCCAAAGGUUCGAAACAAAAAGAAGCUGUUACGGUUUCUCUUCUUUAUUAUUUACUCCCCUUGUGCCAGGGGAACGUUUGGAUUCUCCAGCGCUUCACUGUUUUUGAAUGAGAAAAAUAAAAUUCAAUCACAAUGGAUGAAACUGAAUCUCAUAUACAAGGCUCUGCGCCAUCACGCGAGCCUCAGCUUCAUCGGCCGUUUGGCCAGCGGCCGUCGACGAGGCGUUCAGCA
ensembl:lncRNA